AUUGAACGCUGGCGGCAGGCCUAACACAUGCAAGUCGAACGGUAGCACAGAGAGCUUGCUCUCGGGUGACGAGUGGCGGACGGGUGAGUAACGUCUGGGAAACUGCCCGAUGGAGGGGGAUAACUACUGGAAACGGUAGCUACUACCGCAUAACGUCGCAAGACCAAAGUGGGGGACCUUCGGGCCUCACACCAUCGGAUGUGCCCAGAUGGGGUUAGCUAGUAAGUGGGGUAAUGGCUCACCUAGGCGACGAUCCCUAGCUGGUCUGGGAGGAUGACCAGCCACACUGGAACUGAGACACGGUCCAGACUCCUACGGGAGGCAGCAGUGGGGAAUAUUGCACAAUGGGCGCAAGCCUGAUGCAGCCAUGCCGCGUGUAUGAAGAAGGCCUUCGGGUUGUAAAGUACUUUCAGCGGGGAGGAAGGCGGUGAAGUUAAUAACUUCACCGAUUGACGUUACCCGCAGAAGAAGCACCGGCUAACUCCGUGCCAGCAGCCGCAGUAA
rnacentral:rRNA from 1 species